GAAACAUCAUGACACAUUGUCCUGCUCCCUCUGGCGAGUCCUAAGUUGAGUUUCAGUGCAUCAUCUCCCUCUGUCUCACGUCAGUCUGCAGAACAGCAGGAAGUGCAGUCUGGAUUUGCUCCCACCUCCUGAUGUGUCGCAGCUCCUGUCAAUAGUUUGGGAUGAUGCCAGAGGAGACCCCCUAACAGGAGACCUGCAGGGAGGACUGCAGUGAGGAGAUGGUGAGAGCAUCACAGUGCUGGCGUGUGUUGCCAUGACAUUGGAGUAAUUGCUGCUGCUUUCUCUGACAGAAAUUAAUUCUUUCAGAAUUAAGUGACCAAUUUUGCCAACGCUCAGCUGCAGGAGGAAAGGAAUUUUCUGUAAUUCAGCAAAUAAAUACACUUCCUAUACACUUCUAUAUCUACACCUCCGCAACAGCAGCAAAGCAUUUUUGCUGUUCCCACUGUUUGCUAACACCUUGCAGUUUGCACUGGGAAAUUGUGAGACUGAUGAUAGAACACAACACAAUGCAAUCUUGAAAUUUUCCCUAAAGCACAGUAGGAGCGGAGCAGGAGAAUAUAAAGGUGCAAGGUGGCAAAGCUAUGUCUAGGUUGGCUACUUUGAAAAACAAAUCCAGUUUCCUCUGGAUGGUUUCCUCAGUGGUUUAAGCCACAGCUCUUUGACUCAGCGGACACCAUGGAUGUUCAGAUUUGCCAUUUUCCACAAUGUUCUUGACCACAGUCUUGUCAGAGCCACCUAAGUACCAACCUGCAGGGCCCACGUUCUGUUUGCUCACGUUUCAUCUCAGCAAGAACUGUUACAUAAAAACCUUGUACAGGUAAUCCAAGGUAAAAAGCAAUUAGCUAAAACCCAGGAUCAGGUAAAACUAUACAAUAAUAAGGAGAUGGAGUGAGCCCUGGCUUAGUGAGCACUGGGAAACUUGAGUGGGUUUAAUAAGCCCCCUGAAGCCUGGCUGUCUACUGCAGGUCAUGGUGUUCCUGUGCCUGCCAUAUCCAAGGUAGGAUGAGAUGUUUCCUGACAGUUCCUGACAGGCAGGAGAUUACCGAUCUGCUGACGGAAGAGUUCUGCCCAAAUCCUCCUGUUUAGAAGGGGUCCCAUUCAGGAUCUGGCAGGUUUUGCCCAUCUCCCCUCUUGGAUCCCCUGCAUAUGAAAAAAAUCUCUGUGGUAACUAAGGCUAAAAGGACUCCUCACCCAGGAGCUUUGCUAUAUAAAAAAUAGCAGCAGCACCUCAGAUUUCCUAAUUGUUUUACAUUUAUUUUGGAGUUUGACAUUAAAGGGGAGAAGGGAAUAUAUAGGGAAUAUACAGUUUUCCUACCCAUCUAGUAGAUACUGAGGUUAAAGAGAUUUAACUUGCAGGAAGACCACCCAGCCAGCCUGUGGGAGAGCUGGCAGAUGAACAAAGCCCUCUUGAUUUAUUAGCAAGCAUCCAUCCUAGAAGAUGUUGAUCCUUCCUCCAGAGAAGGGAAUGGACCUUUAAUAGCACAGUUAAUUAGGGAUUUGUUUUAUUUUUUUUUUUAAUUUUUUUAUUUUAACCAGGUCAUACAGCACCCCAAAGAAGUUUCAUAUUUUUCAUUCCAGCACCUGGUGGAGGAUGUUGGAAAAUCCUGCUGGCCUUUGGUGGCCCCAGAUGCCCGAGGGCUUCUGUUCUGCCUCCAGCACUUUCCCCUGCCACGCACUGAGCAGCCUUCCCGUGUGAAACAGGGAGUCGUUUUGCUGAGCCAUGUUUUAAAACAAGGUUUGGAUGAACAUCUUGAAUGUUUCCUUGAAAUCCCCCCCACCUCUGAGUCAUCAGAAUGACUUUGGAAAGCAACCAGAGCAAACAAUCCCCAUCCUCUCAGAGAAGUGGCAGCCCCGGCUCCCUGCUGGGUGGCAUCAGCCCCUCAUGCCUCCGCCCUGUUUCCGGACACAAGCCCUUGUCCAUUUGCCAAAUCCAGAACUGGGUUAUUGUUUCCAUUGCUGCAUCUCUGGAGUUCACUUGUUUUCCUGGAAACCUGUCCUAGAUGUGUGAGGUUCCUGAAUGUCUUUGGAUGAUGGCAGCUCUCUGUGAAACACAGCUGGGAAUUGUGCUCCACGUGCUCCAGUGAGAAAAUCCCAACAAUACGGACUCUUCCACUAGGGCUGGAGCCCCUCUGCUCUGCAGCCAGCCUGGG